rnacentral:lncRNA from 1 species
GGGAUUGCAAGAAAGGACUUGAGUUAAAAAGUCCUUCUGAUGUUAUGCUGUUCUUCACCACAGGAAUGAAAAAGGUUUCUGGUCAACCAUGACUGUGCCUCCAGGCUCUAACCCACCCCCCGGGCAGUGGUGACAACAGCAGGACCUGCUUGGAGAUCAGCUGCCUUAAGGGUUGAUGGCUGGCAUGUCGCAGAGUCCACCCAGCAUGUACUGGUGUGUGGGCCCAGAGGGAUCAACUUUGAGUCCAGAACGCACCAUGGAGACCCAAAGUGGCAGAUACUCUCCUGGAUGGUGGAAGGUGUGGUGCUGGAUGGACUCCACUCAGAGGCAGCUCAAGGUCCCUGCUCCAUGUGACAGCUCCUAGCUUCAGCCCUGAAAGCCUAGCCCACCUGCCUGCCUGUCAGAGCACUGUCCACUGCCAGAGCCAGCAUGGACCAAAGGAAGAGCAGGAAAGUUCCAGAGGGUCUUCAAAUCCCAGGUGCCAGGGACAUGGGCAGCAAGCUGUCCACGCCAGGUGGGGACUCCACAGCACCUCGGUCCCCCAGGAUGGAGGGCAUUUACACCGCAUACAAACAGGGAGACCUCAGCAGGGCUCGAGACCUGCUCAGGCAGGCCUGUGAGGACAGCACAUCCCAGCUGGAAAAGGGUCAGCUCCUGAGCAUCUCAGCGGCCCAUGGGGAUCUAGAGACGGUCCGGUAUCUACUCACCGAGAAACGGGUGGAGCUGUCCACGGAGCCCACUGAUGACAAUGCAGCCGUCGUGGCUGCACAUUUUGGGCACACGGAAGUUGUGCAGGAGCUGCUUGAGUCCUUGUCAGGUAAAUCACAGUGCACUCGCUCCUUACCUCCCCCCUGGGCCCUCUUCUUAGGCUACAACCAAAAUUCUUGUUUCUUCAUGAUUUCAGCAAUGAGAUCAGGAAAUCUGGGGCAUCCAACUGGCACCCCAAACAAAGGUGUCUGCAGAUGUCCUGUACUUUCCCCCAUUGACCCAUGAGGGAAGCACUCAUGAUCAUACUUGCAAAGAAUAUAGGCCUGUGCAGCUUGGUUUUUGAUUGACUGCUUUUAGGACAGUUUUAGGAUUUAAAAAAAUUGAUAGGAAUGUAGUGUUCCCAUAUACCCCUCCACACACAGUUUCCCCUGUUAUUUCCAUUUUGCAU